UACAGAGGUCCCAAGCGUUGUUCGGAUUCACUGGGCGUAAAGGGUGCGUAGGUGGUGAGGUAAGUCGGAUGUGAAAGCUCGGAGCUCAACUCCGAAAUGGCAUUGGAAACUACCUUGCUCGAGGGUUGGAGGGGGGACUGGAAUACUUGGUGUAGCAGUGAAAUGCGUAGACAUCAAGUGGAACACCAGUGGCGAAGGCGAGUCCCUGGACAACUCCUGACACUGAGGCACGAAAGCUAGGGGAGCAAACAGG
rnacentral:rRNA from 1 species